GAUGUACUCCCUCCGUCCGGAAAUACUUGUCGGAGAAAUGAAUGUAUCUAGAUGUAUUUUAGUUCUAAGAUACAUCCAUUUUUGUUCAUUUCUCCGACGAGUAUUUUCGGACGGAGGGAGUAUGUC
rfam:Triticum aestivum genome assembly, contig: Triticum_aestivum_CS42_TGACv1_scaffold_404425_5BL